CAUAAUAGCAAUUAAAGACCCGGAUCUUAAAGUUUUAAGGUGAAAAUGGUUUGAUGAAAACGGACCGUGACACACUAUCUAAUGAGAUAGAAACCAAACGGUAUCAAGAUGAACGCCACACUCAGACGAGUGAUAAGUUCAGAAAAGAAACAAGUUUGAUGCCACUAGCUUAGCUAGAUAAGUCAAGUUGAAUCUCGAAG
rnacentral:lncRNA from 1 species